rnacentral:other from 1 species
GUUACCCUGCUGUGCACGUGUUGUUGCUUUUUGCGUUCUGAGCCAACACUGAUAUUUGGGAGUCCACUCUCAUGAAGGUGACGCGAUAGGCUAGAGCCAAGGCGGAUCCUUCUGGUAGGACACCAACCUGCGAAAGCAGGUUCAGAACUUUGCAUCACACGACAUAGUGGGGUUCUU